AGUGUCCAGGUCUGAGAGCUCUUCAUUUCUUCUUCCAUUGAUCGUUGGACGGGUUUGUGGAAUUUCACUGAUUAUUCUCCUGCUGCUGCUUCUUUGUUGCAGCAGAAAAAUAAAGGAUGCAUGCAGUAACAGUCUCUCUCAGUCUCUGAACAUCAACCAAGGCUCUGCUACACAGCAAACAGUGAACCAGAAUGAAACUCAAGUUUACUCCUCUCUUCUCCAUGGUCAGCCUUUCCAAUCAUUCUUUUCACAACUAU